rnacentral:rRNA from 1 species
UACGGAGGGUGCAAGCGUUAUCCGGAUUCACUGGGUUUAAAGGGUGCGUAGGUGGGCUGGUAAGUCAGUGGUGAAAUCUCCAGGCUUAACUUGGAAACUGCCGUUGAUACUAUCUGUCUUGAAUAUUGUGGAGGUGAGCGGAAUAUGUCAUGUAGCGGUGAAAUGCUUAGAUAUGACAUAGAACACCAAUUGCGAAGGCAGCUCACUACACAAUCAUUGACUCUGAGGCACGAAAGCGUGGGGAUCAAACAGG